GAGACAGUAUAUAACACACUGUUAAAAUAUGCUCAGUAGAAGAGAGGUCAUCAUUGUAGAUAAAACAGCUGGAAAAGUCAGACUCUGUAGAGGAACAUAGAAUUUUCUGAAAUGUCACUGGCACGGUAAUAGAGGACAAGUAAGUUUGAGUUUGUUUGUUUUGAGAUAGAGGUCUCACCAGGGAGCAGAGAUUGGUCUCUAACUCUCUAACUCUCUUGCCUCAGACUCCAGAGUGCUAGGAUUAUAGGACUACACCACCAUGCUCAGUUGAAGAUUUUAUUUCUUUGCUUGAUUUGGAAAAAAGAAUUUGCUUGCCUCUAGUAACUUUCUUUUCAAUUUAAAAUAAUGCCUUAAUGCCUUGAAAUGAACUGCAAUACCACCAUUCAAGGAUCCGGAUACAGUCUCAUUUAGUAUAACAUACAUGAACGCAUAAAAACAGAUAAAGUAAUAUGCUGUAGGGCUUUAAACUCUUGUAACAUUGGCUUUAUUAUUUAAGAUAAAUGAAUUAAAACAAGUUUUCUCUAACUCAAAAAAUGGCUUUGGGAAGUCAAGUGGAGAAGACUACACAGUGCUUGUGGUAGGUAAGAAAACUUCAUUGAAUAGCAAAUGAAUUAAAACAGGACACAAGGUGUGGCAUUGCUUGGCCUAGGUAUGCAUGAUAUACCCUAUCUUGACUGGAUACUUCAGCAGGCAUCAAACCAUGCCAUCAGAUUAUCAGCUAUUAUUUUUAAAUAGGAUUAAUGUAUCUGACACCUUACAAAAAAAAUCUACUUGGGCCUUGUUACCUUUCCUUUCAAUAUUUACAUUGAAAAUAUGGAUUUACAAUUUCCUACGUUAGAUGAAUCACUUCAGUCUUGUUUAUUCUUCAUAAAGAAAAAAACUUAGGCUCUGAGGCUUUCAAGACAAAAAAUUGAUUUAAAAAUGUUUGCUAUUGAUGUUUCUGGCUAAAUAAUCAAUUAAGAAUUAUUUGAUGAAUUGCACAUGAUCUGAGUAAAGAGCUUUGCAAAUUACAAAAUGCUACAAUUCACCUCCAAGGAAACCUGUAGAUACAAGCAAGCAGUUAUUUGGGGACUCUGGGAACGGCAUGGGUGAGUAGGGACUGUCUGCUGUCCUAUGGAAACACCUCAUGGGAGAAACCAAGAGUACAGCAUGGAAUAGGUCUGACCUUCCUAGAGGAACAUGGCAAGUAUAUGAAGUAAUUAGAAAUCCCAAACUGGAUGACAACAUGACAGAUUCUACUGUACUGAAAAGCAAGGCAUUACAAUGCUUGGUCAUCCUAUUAGUGACGUUCUUUCCAUUAACCCCAGGUGCUCACAUUCUUAGCUAUCAACAACACUAUGUAUUCACUGUUAUCAGUGACCUCAACUAUUCCUUUCUAGUCCCAUGCAGUCCAAGUUUUCAGUAGCCUAUUGAUCCAUCUGAAAAAUUUUUACAAAAUUCCUCUAUUACCUUAUCCCUAAGCUCUGAUCUUGUCUUCCCUGCAAUCCCUUUCUGUCCCGAUCACAUACAAUCCUCCCUGGGGACCAAGCAAAUGCUUGGUUCUUCACCUUUUGGCCAACAUUUCUACUCUGCUGAAAGGCAAGCAAUGAUUCCCUUCUACCUUGUACUGAAAAUUUAUGUAACCAGUCCGGGACUUCAGAAUCCCAUGAAUGUGCCCAUCAGUCAUGCCCAUCCUUGGCCUACCAUUGUUUCUUCUCCUCACCUGCCCCUUUCCAGUCUCCAGGCACUUCCCCUCUGUACAUUUUGGUGGCAACCUAUACAAGUCAGUUUUCACCACAUGCUAUUAUGACGAAUUCAUUCGUGUACUCCAGAAUUUAACACAGGUUAAUUUUUCUCCUUUUCAGAAGUUCAAAGCUGGGUACAACUUUGGUUCUGCACCCGAUUGAACAAUCAAACCCCACAUCAAGUCUCUUCCCCUGAAUGUAACUAGUUUUAGCCUAGAUAAUACAUUCAACCAUUGUUUGAGGACUCUUGAAAGUAAACUGUAGCACAUGGACUGAAUAAUAUCAGGAUGUGAAGUACCACCAAAACAGAUAAUAAAUUUACUCUCUUGUUCUUCCAGUGCUUCUGAGCUUGAUCUAGGAGGAAACUCAAACACAGCUAUUAGUAUACAAUGAGAGUAUGAGGAGAAGCCUUGCAGUUUGAGUUGCAUGGGGAAAUGGGGCACAGAGUAUUCCCUACAGCAGCAGCAGCAGCAGAAAACCCAUGAGAAAAGGGAACAUCUCCUUCCACUCAGACAAGCUGCGGUGCCCAACAAGGAGAGGCUGAUGGCUGUUGCUUUAUUCUAACUCUCUGUACUCUUAAUCCUUAGCUCUGCACAUGGUAGAAGGUAUAAGAAGUAGAAGCCUCUAUUUUUCAGCUGGAGGAUAAAAUGGGAAGACCCAAGAAGGGGACUGGAAAGCAUCUGGGAAUGUUUAGGAAAUGUUUAGCGUGAGGGAAAUGUUUAGCAAAGGAUCUUAUGGCAUUAUUUAUGAUGUCUUGGGUGCACCACUACCUGUGCAGAAUGGAUUGUCAACAGCACACUGAUCCUGAGAGCUGAGCUAAACGACAGACUGUCCUGAUGCUGCAGAGUGGCCAAUAGCUGGUGCUCUUUGGAACAGCAAUGCAAAGGUUCUCCACACUCCAUCAGUACUGGAACUGGAGCAACAGCUCACAUAAGCUAAUUGUAACUUAUGACUGAAAUACAACCAGGUAAACUACCUGCCAAAUACCAAAUAAGGAACAGAGCCUUUAAAUGUAUGUUUAAAUUUUCUCAGAAUAUAGUCCAUUAUUAUUCAUUAGUAAGGGAACAACCAGAAAAAUCUCAACUAGUGUGGCAA